GUGCACUCCCUUUAGAGAAAUUCAGGUUUGUAAAGCUUCAUUUGGAUGAAAAUAUACAGGAGGAUACCUAGGCUGCCAGUUCCUUGGUUAAGAAACUGAACAUGCACAGUACCUCGCAUGCCCAAGUGCCAGGAAUGAAAGAAGACUAAAACAAGAUGCCUGUUCCUGAUAGAGGAGUUAAAAACGCAAAAACGCAUCCCAUGGACAACACAAUGUAAUACAUUAUGUUUUAAUACUUUCCUACUAGUACAUUUAAUGUGCCGAGGGAAGACACAUGAGUGAACAACUAAUUAUACUAGGGAAAGCAUCUGUGAAGACUCCAGAGAAGAGACAGUGAUUAUCUUUAAUGUUAAAAAACAAUCUUUCCAGAAAGACAUAUGUGGCAAAGUGGGUUGGGCAGAGGAAUGGAAUAAACAAGGUUAAAACAAACAAACAAACAAACAAACAAACAAAAAUGUGUGGAAUGCAAGGCAUGGUUGGAAAGGAGACAAUAGUUUGGUAUUAGCAAAUUCAAGGUAUCUGCUUUCUUACUGAAGUUGAACGUCCUUCUACAUGUUUAAGCAUUCUUUGUAUUCAUUUUAUUGUGAAUUAUCUAUUUAUGUUCCUACCCAUUUUUAGGGGAGCUACUUGUAUAUUAAGGAUUUAAUUCUUUGUUUUUGGUAUGAAAUGCAGUAUGUUUCCGAGCUUA